rnacentral:rRNA from 1 species
GACGUAGGUGGCAAGCGUUACUCGGAAUUACUAGGCGUAAAGCGCGCGCAGGCGGAAGUCUAAGUCAACCGUUAAAUCUCCCGGCUCAACUGGGAAUAGCGGCUGAAACUGGACAUCUUGAGUGAGGCAGAGGAAAUUGGAAUUCCCGGUGUAGCGGUGGAAUGCGUAGAGAUCGGGAGGAACACCAGAGGCGAAGGCGGAUUUCUGGGCCUUUACUGACGCUGAGGCGCGAAAGCUAGGGGAGCAAACAGGAUUAGAUACCCUGGUAGUCCUAGCUGUAAACGAUGGAAACUAGGUGUGGGAGGUAUCGACCCCUUCCGUGCCGACGCUAACGCAUUAAGUUUCCCGCCUGGGGAGUACGGCCGCAAGGUUAAA